rnacentral:rRNA from 1 species
CGCCAGACUCCUACGGGAGGCAGCAGUGGGGAAUAUUGCGCAAUGGGGGGAACCCUGACGCAGCAACGCCGCGUGCAGGAAGAAGGUCUUCGGAUUGUAAACUGUUGUCGCAGGGGAAGAAGACAGUGACGGUACCCUGUGAGAAAGUCACGGCUAACUACGUGCCAGCAGCCGCAGUAAUACGGAGGAUGCGAGCGUUAUCCGGAUUUAUUGGGUUUAAAGGGUGCGUAGGCGGAAUGCCAAGUCAGCGGUAAAAUCGCGGGGCUCAACCUCGCUCCGCCGUUGAAACUGGCGUUCUUGAGUGGGCGAGAAGUAUGCGGAAUGCGUGGUGUAGCGGUGAAAUGCAUAGAUAUCACGCAGAACUCCGAUUGCGAAGGCAGCAUACCGGCGCCCAACUGACGCUGAAGCACGAAAGCGUGGGUAUCGAACAGGAUUAGAUACCCCGGUAA